AUAUAAAUGAUAUAAAUUUAACUAACAAUAACUUUAUUAUUCCCUUUAUCUAACGGAUCACUGUCUGUGGGACUAAAACCCAAAAAAUUCCUGAAGUUUGGAGCUUCUGCACUCCUACAGCUGCUGUUUACAGAAGAUCUAACAUAUCCACAGUGGAUCAUUUAGAGAUGAAGUUCUGCAGAUCUGCUAUCCAUGUUCUGCUUCUACUGAUCCUCACUAUUGAAUCAGAAUCAGCUGCUCCUGUAGUGGAGGUGGAGUAUGGAGGUACUGCUGUUCUGCCGUGUACUGAGAGAUGUUUUGGAGUGGUCAGAUGGACAGUGUUUCACAAGCGCUUUGAUAUUCUGGCUGAGUGUGAUUGGACUCCCUGCAGAUCAGUGAAGGAGGGAUAUCAGAUGAUCUAUAAUCAAUACCUGCAGAGAGAUUUCUCUCUGAUCAUCAGUAAAGCUGAUUUCAGUAAGAGAGGACUGUACACCUGUGAGUGUAAUGGUAGAGACAUCUGUGAUGUGGAGCUUCAGAUUGAGGCUCUGAGGACUUCAAAACAGAUGAAGUCUGGUGAAUCUCUGCUGCUGGAGUUGGAUGUAUCAGAUCCAGUGGGGGUGAUUUAUAGCAGUACAGGAGCAGGUGAUGGAUACAGUGUUCAGAUCUGUACAGUAGAUGGAGGAUCACUGCAGUGUAAAUCUGAAUAUAAACACAGAACAUCAUCUACUCUGGAGCUAAGAGAUAUGAAGGAGUCUGAUAGUGGAGUUUACAUUAUCCGAGACAACGAGAAUAAUGAUAAUCUCCACAUCUACACCGUCACUGUUACAGGUAUGAGUUUAGUGUUUAGUUUAUAGUAUAAACAGAGUUUAUUCUGGCAGAUUUAGUUAUAUACAUUUUUUUAUUAGUGUAUAUGGGGAUUGGGGGGGCAGUAUCAGUCUAGCGAACAACUGAAAUGGAAUGGAUGUCCAGUUUUUAGUAUUUGUAGAUAUUUUAUGAGGAUUCUCCAUCAGGUAGGGUGAAUUUAGGUUGAU
rnacentral:lncRNA from 1 species